CUGGUGCUGGGCUGGUUGCUCGGCCGGAGGCGUUAGCGCCGCGUGGGCACCCCGGUGCUGUUGCGGGGCGUCGACC
rnacentral:tRNA from 1 species